rnacentral:rRNA from 1 species
UACAGAGGUCUCGAGCGUUAGGCGGAAUCACUGGGCUUAAAGCGUGUGUAGGCGGAUCGUUAAGUGCCUUGUGAAAUCCCACGGCUCAACCGUGGAACUGCUUGGCAUACUGGCGGUCUUGAGCAACCUAGGGGCGAGCGGAACAAAUGGUGGAGCGGUGAAAUGCGUAGAUAUCAUUUGGAACGCCAAUGGUGAACACAGCUCGCUGGGGGUUUGCUGACGCUGAGACACGAAAGCCAGGGGAGCAAACCGG